CAUGCAAGUCGAGCGGGGGAGGUAGCUUGCUACCGGACCUAGCGGCGGACGGGUGAGUAAUGCUUAGGAAUCUGCCUAUUAGUGGGGGACAACAUCUCGAAAGGGAUGCUAAUACCGCAUACGUCCUACGGGAGAAAGCAGGGGAUCUUCGGACCUUGCGCUAAUAGAUGAGCCUAAGUCGGAUUAGCUAGUUGGUGGGGUAAAGGCCUACCAAGGCGACGAUCUGUAGCGGGUCUGAGAGGAUGAUCCGCCACACUGGGACUGAGACACGGCCCAGACUCCUACGGGAGGCAGCAGUGGGGAAUAUUGGACAAUGGGGGGAACCCUGAUCCAGCCAUGCCGCGUGUGUGAAGAAGGCCUUAUGGUUGUAAAGCACUUUAAGCGAGGAGGAGGCUACUUUAGUUAAUACCUAGAGAUAGUGGACGUUACUCGCAGAAUAAGCACCGGCUAACUCUGUGCCAGCAGCCGCGGUAAUACAGAGGGUGCGAGCGUUAAUCGGAUUUACUGGGCGUAAAGCGUGCGUAGGCGGCUUAUUAAGUCGGAUGUGAAAUCCCCGAGCUUAACUUGGGAAUUGCAUUCGAUACUGGUGAGCUAGAGUAUGGGAGAGGAUGGUAGAAAUUCCAGGUGUAGCGGUGAAAUGCGUAAAGAUCUGGAGGAAUACCG
rnacentral:rRNA from 1 species